GCCUAUCUUGCUGUUUCAUUGGCCAAACAGAACCUUAUUAAACAAUCAAUAAGAUAACAUACACAGAAGUACUUCCCCAUCAGUUUUCUGUGUGAGCCUUUGAUGAUCUUUAAUGUCAAGAAGAUUUCCCAUGCGCCACGGACAGUCUCCCAGGAAUCUUCAGAGUUUAGAAAAAUACUACUGAGAAAGAGGUGGUCUUUUCAGAGAUAAGAAGGCCUUCCAGAUCUGUCAUUCCUUGGGAGAAAAGUCUUUGCAGGUAGAAAGCAUGGAUUACUUUAUAUUAGAUUUUAUAUUUUUUCAGUUUUGAUUACCUAGGACCACACUAUCAUUUAAAAGUUAUGAAGCAAUUUUAUAGCUUGUCUUGCUCUUUCCCUCUAGGUAUUAUAAUAACUCUCAAAUAUACAGGAGGAAGAAGACAGUGUGGUUCAUUAGAUUCUAUACUUUGCAUGAAACCCAGUGCAUCACAUCAUCAGUUCCUUUGUGAGCAUUGGACAGAAAUUAGCCUCAGCAUCAGACCUGUCUUCAUGGAGAAUGACACUGCAGUCUUGAUGCAAGAGUGGUCCUCUGCCCUUGGCACCCUAUCUGCUAGGAAGCAGCAAAUAUUUCCUGCUCUGAGACCUGAAAUGCCAGCAUAAAAGUCCAACUGUGAUUAAGCUGUACCCUGGAAACAGGUAUUUCUCAGAAGAUGAAAUUUCAGAGAGCUUCUUUUUCUCUGGAGGACUGUGUGACUGUUAAAGACAUCUCAGGCUACUCAAAAAUCAUUAUAUUCAUGUAUGAAUUAUCAAACAAUAAACUUUCAAAAAGAAAAACCUAAACCCCUUAA
rnacentral:lncRNA from 1 species